CUUGGUCAUUUAGAGGAAGUAAAAGUCGUAACAAGGUUUCCGUAGGUGAACCUGCGGAAGGAUCAUUAAUGAGUUGUGAUGGGGUUUGAUGCUGGCAGCCAAAAUUUGGAUGCAUGUGCUUGCCCUAACACAAUCAUCUUCCAAACACCUGUGCACAUUUUGAGGGAGUUCUGAGUUGAUUUGCCACUUUGUGGUGAUUUUCUUGUAUUCCCUUAAAUCAUUAUACGCUGUUAACAAAUGCUGGACGUGCUUUGUGCCGCAAGGCCUUUAAUAUAAUACAACUUUUAACAACGGAUCUCUUGGCUCUCGCAUCGAUGAAGGACGCAGCGAAAUGCGAUAAGUAAUGUGAAUUGCAGAAUUCAGUGAAUCAUCGAAUCUUUGAACGCACCUUGCGCCUCUUGGCAUUCCGAGAGGCACACCCGUUUGAGCGUCGUGACAUCCUCAACCUUUCUCGAUCCUUUUGCGACCGAGGAAGGCUUGGACUUUGGGGGAUAUGCUGGCUUCCUCCUUCGAAGCCAGCUCCCCUUAAACGGAUUAGUGGGUUUCGCUUCGCCGAUCCUCGACGUUGAUAAGAUGCUUCUACGUCUUGGGCUUAGUCGGACGCCUGCUUCUAACCGUCUCGAAAGGAGAGACAAACGCGAUCGUUCGAAAUUUGACCUCAAAUCGGGUGAGACUACCCGCUGGACUUAAGCAUAUCAAUAAGCGGAG
rnacentral:rRNA from 1 species